rnacentral:rRNA from 1 species
UACAGAGGUCCCAAGCGUUGUUCGGAUUCACUGGGCGUAAAGGGUGCGUAGGUGGUUGGGCAAGUCUGAUGUGAAAUCUCCGGGCUUAACCCGGAAAUGGCAUUGGAAACUGCCUGGCUAGAGUGUUGGAGGGGGGACUGGAAUUCUCGGUGUAGCAGUGAAAUGCGUAGAUAUCGAGAGGAACACCAGUGGCGAAGGCGAGUCCCUGGACAACGACUGACACUGAGGCACGAAAGCCGGGGGAGCAAACAGG